rnacentral:rRNA from 1 species
UACGAAGGGUGCUAGCGUUGUUCGGAAUCACUGGGCGUAAAGCGCGCGUAGGCGGCCAUGCAAGUCAGAGGUGAAAGCCCGGGACUCAACCCCGGAAUUGCCUUUGAAACUGCAUGGCUGGAGUAUCGGAGGGGAGUGCGGAAUUCCUAAUGUAGAGGUGAAAUUCGUAGAUAUUAGGAGGAACACCGGUGGCGAAGGCGGCACUCUGGACGAAUACUGACGCUGAGGCGCGAAAGCGCGGGGAUCGAACAGG